rnacentral:lncRNA from 1 species
AUGCACACGUGCAGUGCACACCCAUUGCAUGCACACACACCCCCAGUGCAUGCACACACACCCAUUGCAUGCACACACACACGUUGCAUGCACUCAACCCCCCUGUUGCAAUACAUUUACACACCCGUUGCAUGCACACACACCCAUGCAAGGUGCUCGCCUCCCUCGCUGUGCACAAGCACACAUGUGCUCACACCCUGCGUGCACCCACGGAGCACACAUACCCCCCACGAGCACCACACAUGUGCGUGCAAGCGCAGUCCCCCUGCACACGCAGCCACACGCGUGCAACUUGCACCCCGCGCUCCCAGCGCCCACCCAGGCGUGCAGGCACCCCCACGCGUGCACACCCACUCGUGCACACACAGCUCCCCCCCCCCUUCAACCCUCCAGACCCCGGGGCCCUCCCCGGAUGCCUCCCUUCGCCGUGCGCUAGCAAAUGGGAGCGGGGAGGGGGUGUUGCUGCCCGCCUGCCACUUGUUGCAAAGAAAAAAAAAAAAAAAAAAAAAAAAAAAGGAAGAAAGGGGAAAAAAAAAAAAAGAAGGGGAAGAAAAAAAAAAAAAAUCCCUCCCACCUUCUCUCAUCUGCUGCGGAAUAAAAGAAAUAUCGGCGGGCGCGGCGCCAUGUGAGCGGCGGGCCGGGGCCGGGCGGAGCAGCGGCCGUGCCCCCGGGACGGCGGGGGGAGCCCUGGGAGCCGGCGGCAUGGUGGGGACCCCCAGCCUGGUGGCCAAAGCCGCCCCGGUGAGGGCCACCCCGAGACGGGACGGACCGCAGGGGCCCCGGGAGCAAGGGGGUCCCGCUGGGGACGGGAUGGGGUCGCUGGGAUUUGGGGGGUCCCGGUGGGGAAAGGGGGUCCCCCCCUCGCUCUCCAGCGGUAGGACGCGGUGCCCCUUGGGGGGGGGGAAAGGGGGGAAAAAGGGGGGCGGGGGGUGGGAUUGGGGUUGUGUGUGGGGGUCCUGGGAAGACGCGGUCGCGGGUGGGAGCGGGGCGGGGGUCCCCGCACGGAGCCGUCUCGGGAGGGACCCCCAAAAGGGGGGUGGGGGG